GUGGGGAAUAUUGGACAAUGGGGGGAACCCUGAUCCAGCCAUGCCGCGUGUGUGAAGAAGGCCUUUUGGUUGUAAAGCACUUUAAGCGAGGAGGAGGCUACCGAGAUUAAUACUCUUGGAUAGUGGACGUUACUCGCAGAAUAAGCACCGGCUAACUCUGUGCCAGCAGCCGCGGUAAUACAGAGGGUGCAAGCGUUAAUCGGAUUUACUGGGCGUAAAGCGCGCGUAGGUGGCCAAUUAAGUCAAAUGUGAAAUCCCCGAGCUUAACUUGGGAAUUGCAUUCGAUACUGGUUGGCUAGAGUAUGGGAGAGGAUGGUAGAAUUCCAGGUGUAGCGGUGAAAUGCGUGGAGAUCUGGAGGAAUACCGAUGGCGAAGGCAGCCAUCUGGCCUAAUACUGACACUGAGGUGCGAAAGCAUGGGGAGCAAACAGGAUUAGAAACCCGUGUAGUCC
rnacentral:rRNA from 1 species